UAAGUAAGCGGAGGAUAAGAAACUAAAUAGGAUUCCCUCAGUAAUGGCGAAUGAACAGGGAAAAGCUCAGCAUGGAAAUUGGGGCCUCUGGCCUUGAAUUGUAGUCUUGAGAUGGCAUUGCCAGUGGAGGCGCAGAUGUAAGCCUAUUGGAAAAUAGCAUCAAUGAGGGUGAGAGUCCCGUUUGUCAUCUGCAGUCCCCCAUGCACGGUGUGCUUUCUAAGAGUCACGUUCCUUGGGAUUGGAGCGCAAAUUGGGUGGUAAAUUUCAUCUAAAGCUAAAUAUUGGUUCG
rnacentral:rRNA from 1 species